CCUCUGUAGUUCAGUCGGUAGAACGGCGGACUGUUAAUCCGUAUGUCACUGGUUCGAGUCCAGUCAGAGGNA
rnacentral:tRNA from 1 species